UUCCCUCCGAAGUUUCCCUCAGGAGAGCUGGUGCAUUUAAAAAUUAUGUAAAAUAAUCUUAUCUGGUAAAGCGAAUAAGCGAAUAAAGCAUUAGGGUCAAACGACCUAACCAGUUCUCUAACUUUAAAUGGGUAAGAACCAAACCUUUCUUGGUAUGCAAUUGUGGUUGUGAUAUAA
rnacentral:ncRNA from 1 species